rnacentral:rRNA from 1 species
CCUACGGGGUGCAGCAGGCGCGAAACCUCCGCAAUGCGGGCAACCGUGACGGGGUCACCCCGAGUGCCCCCUAUAUGGGGGCUUUUCCCCGCUGUAGGAAGGCGGGGGAAUAAGCGGGGGGCAAGUCUGGUGUCAGCCGCCGCGGUAAUACCAGCCCCGCGAGUGGUCGGGACGGUUAUUGGGCCUAAAGCGCCCGUAGCCGGCCUGGUAAGUCCCCCUCUAAAUCCCCGGGCUCAACCCGGGGGUUGGGGGGGAUACUGCCAGGCUAGGGGGCGGGAGAGGCCGAGGGUACUCCCGGGGUAGGGGCGAAAUCCUAUAAUCCCGGGAGGACCACCAGUGGUGAAGGCGCUCGGCUGGAACGCGCCCGACGGUGAGGGGCGAAAGCCGGGGGAGCGAACCGGAUUAGAUACCCGGGUAGUCCCGGCUGUAAACGAUGCGGGCUAGGUGUUGGGCGGGCUUAGAGCCCGCCCAGUGCCGCAGGGAAGCCGUUAAGCCCGCCGCCUGGGGAGUACGGUCGCAAGGCUGAAACUUAAAGGAAUUGGCGGGGGAGCACCACAAGGGGUGGAGCCUGCGGUUUAAUUGGAGUCAACGCCGGGAACCUCACCGGGGGCGACAGCAGGAUGACGGCCAGGCUAACGGCCUUGCCCGACGCGCUGAGAGGAGGUGCAUGGCCGUCGCCGGCUCGUGCCGUGAGGUGUCCGGUUAAGUACGGGAACGAGCGAGACCCCCGCCCCUAGUUGCUACCCGGGGCUCCGGCCCCGGGGCACACUAGGGGGAUUGCCGCCGUCCAAGGCGGAGGAAGGAGGGGGCCACGGCAGGUCAGCAUGCCCCGAAUCCCCCGGGCUACACGCGGGCUACAAUGGCGGGGACAGCGGGAUCCGACCCCGAAAGGGGGAGGCAAUCCCUCAAACCCCGCCGCAGUUGGGAUCGAGGGCUGCAACUCGCCCUCGUGAACGUGGAAUCCCUAGUAACCGCGCGUCAUCAUCGCGCGGUGAAUACGUCCCUGCUCCUUGCACUCACCGCCCGUC